AUGCAAGUCGAACGAUGAAGCCUUUCGGGGUGGAUUAGUGGCGAACGGGUGAGUAACACGUGGGCAAUCUGCCCUUCACUCUGGGACAAGCCCUGGAAACGGGGUCUAAUACCGGAUAAUACUUCUGCCUGCAUGGGCGGGGGUUGAAAGCUCCGGCGGUGAAGGAUGAGCCCGCGGCCUAUCAGCUUGUUGGUGGGGUGAUGGCCUACCAAGGCGACGACGGGUAGCCGGCCUGAGAGGGCGACCGGCCACACUGGGACUGAGACACGGCCCAGACUCCUACGGGAGGCAGCAGUGGGGAAUAUUGCACAAUGGGCGAAAGCCUGAUGCAGCGACGCCGCGUGAGGGAUGACGGCCUUCGGGUUGUAAACCUCUUUCAGCAGGGAAGAAGCGAAAGUGACGGUACCUGCAGAAGAAGCGCCGGCUAACUACGUGCCAGCAGCCGCGGUAAUACGUAGGGCGCAAGCGUUGUCCGGAAUUAUUGGGCGUAAAGAGCUCGUAGGCGGCUUGUCGCGUCGGAUGUGAAAGCCCGGGGCUUAACCCCGGGUCUGCAUUCGAUACGGGCAGGCUAGAGUGUGGUAGGGGAGAUCGGAAUUCCUGGAGUAGCGGAGAAAUGCGCAAAUAUCAGGAGGAACACCGGUGGCGAGGCGGAUCUCU
rnacentral:rRNA from 1 species